rnacentral:rRNA from 1 species
GACGAACGCUGGCGGCGUGCUUAACACAUGCAAGUCGAACGGAGUGGCGAACGGGUGAGUAACACGUGGGUGAUCUGCCUUGCACUUCGGGAUAAGCUUGGGAAACUGGGUCUAAUACCGGAUAGUGCAAGAUGUGCUCGCGGCCUAUCAGUUUGUUGGUGGGGUAAUGGCGUACCAAGGCGUCGACGGGUAGCCGGCCUGAGAGGGUGUACGGGCACAUUGGGACUGGGAUACGGCCCAGACUCCAACGGGAGGCAGGAGUGGGGAUUAUUGGACACUGGGCGGAAGGCGGAUGCAGCGACUCCGCGUGGUGGAUGAAGGUCUUCGGGUUGUAAACUCCUUUCGACAGGGACGCGGUACCUGUAUAAGAAGCACCGGCUAACUACGUGCCAGCAGCCGCGGUAAUC